ensembl:snRNA U6 U6 spliceosomal RNA
UUGCUUUGGCAGUACAUAUGCUAAAUUUGGAAUGAUACAAAGAAGAUUAGCAUGACCCCUGAGCAAGUAUGACAUGCAAAUUUGUGAAAUGUUCCAUAUUUGG